rnacentral:rRNA from 1 species
GUAAAUACUUUAACGGCCGCGGUAUACUGACCGUGCAAAGGUAGCGUAAUCACUUGUCUUUUAAAUGAAGGCCCGUAUGAAUGGCAAGACGAGGGCCUAUCUGUCUCCUUUUUUAACUCAAUGAAAUUGAUCUGCCCGUGCAGAAGCGGACAUAAAUACAUAAGACGAGAAGACCCUAUGGAGCUUUAGACCCAGGACAGCCCCAACACUAACUACCACAUAAAUACACCCUCAAACCCAACAAAAUAAAGCGUCUGUCCCCCUGUCUUUGGUUGGGGCGACCAUGGGGAAAAACAAAACCCCCACGAGGAACGGGAAGCCUUCCUUAAAAGCUGGGCCACAGCCCUACUUCACAGAAAGAUCUGACCUUAUGAUCCGGCAAAGCCGAUCAACGGACCCAGUUACCCUAGGGAUAACAGCGCAAUCCUCUUCCAGAGCCCUUAUCGACAAGAGGGUUUACGACCUCGAUGUUGGAUCAGGACCUCCUACUGGUGUAGCCGCUAUUAAGGGUUCGUUUGUUCAACGAUUAAAGUCCUACGUGAUCUGAGUUCA